rnacentral:rRNA from 1 species
AGCGAACGUUUGCGGCGGGCCUAACACAUGCAAGUCGAACGCACUAGCAAUAGUGAGUGGCGCACGGGUGCGUAACACGUGGGUAAUCAACCCUUCAGCCUGGGAUAACGACUCGAAAGGGUCGCUAAUACCGGAUACGGCGCGAGAGGCUUCGGCUUCUCACGAGAAAGCCACGCAAGGGGGCACUGAAGGACGAGCCUGCGGCCCAUCAGCUAGUUGGUGAGGUAAGAGCUCACCAAGGCUAAGACGGGUAGCUGGUCUGAGAGGAUGAUCAGCCACACUGGAACUGAGACACGGUCCAGACUCCUACGGGAGGCGGCAGUGGGGAAUAUUGCGCAAUGGGCGAAAGCCUGACGCAGCCACGCCGCGUGAGCGAUGAAGGCCUCGGUCGUAAGACUCUGUGGGAGAGACGAAGAAAGACCUGUGAAGAGCAGGCCUUGACGGUAUCUCCUUAGCAAGCACCGGCUAACUCCGUGCCAG